UACGUAGGGUGCAAGCGUUGUCCGGAAUUAUUGGGCGUAAAGAGCUCGUAGGCGGUUCUGUCGCGUCGGAUGUGAAAAUCAGGGCUCAACCCUGGACCUGCAUUCGAUACGGGCAGACUAGAGUUUCGGCAGGGGAGACUGGAAUUCCUGGUGUAGCGGUGAAAAUGCGCAGAUAUCAGGAGGAACACCCGGUGGCGAAGGC
rnacentral:rRNA from 1 species